CGUGGCUCGGUACUUAUAUAAUUUAUCGUCAUUGUGUUAUUGUGCUAUGGUAUUUUUUUGUAUUUUGUCUUUCGUUUACGCUAAUAUGCUUUGUCUAGUUGCCUUUUUGUUUUCUUUGUUUUCAUACAUUUGUUUGUUUGUUUUUAUAGUGAUUAAGAUUUUAAUACAAUGUUGACUGAUGUCCCCUUAUUUUUUUACAUUUUUACCUACAAUGUUUGUUUGUUUUAUUCAGUAAUUGUUGUCGAUUCAAUUGAAUUUCAUACGACUUUCAUAGAAGUAAAAAAUUUAGCUAACUA
rnacentral:lncRNA from 1 species